AUAAGCACCGGCUAACUCCGUGCCAGCAGCCGCGGUAAUACGGAGGGUGCAAGCGUUACUCGGAAUCACUGGGCGUAAAGGACGCGUAGGCGGAUUAUCAAGUCUCUUGUGAAAUCUAACGGCUUAACCGUUAAACUGCUUGGGAAACUGAUAAUCUAGAGUAAGGGAGAGGCAGAUGGAAUUCUUGGUGUAGGGGUAAAAUCCGUAGAGAUCAAGAAGAAUACCCAUUGCGAAGGCGAUCUGCUGGAACUUAACUGACGCUAAUGCGUGAAAGCGUGGGGAGCAAACAGGAUUAGAUACCCUGGUAGUCCACGCCCUAAACGAUGUAUACUAGUUGUUGCUGUGCUAGUCGAGGCAGUAAUCCACCUAACGGAUUAAGUAUACCGCCUGGGGAGUACGGUCGCAAGAUUAAAACUCAAAGGAAUAGACGGGGACCCGCACAAGCGGUGGAGCAUGUGGUUUAAUUCGAAGAUACGCGAAGAACCUUACCCGGACUUGAUAUCUAACAAAUCAUCCAGAGAUGGAAGAGUGUCUGCUUGCAGAAAUGUUAAGACAGGUGCUGCACGGCUGUCGUCAGCUCGUGUCGUGAGAUGUUGGGUUAAGUCCCGCAACGAGCGCAACCCACGUCAUUAGUUGCUAACGGUUCGGCCGAGCACUCUAAUGAGACUGCCUUCGUAAGGAGGAGGAAGGUGUGGACGACGUCAAGUCAUCAUGGCCCUUAUGUCCGGGGCGA
rnacentral:rRNA from 1 species